rnacentral:rRNA from 1 species
UAGGGAAUAUUGCUCAAUGGGGGAAACCCUGAAGCAGCAACGCCGCGUGGAGGAUGAAGGUUUUCGGAUUGUAAAACUCCUUUUGUUAGAGAAGAUAAUGACGGUAUCUAACGAAUAAGCACCGGCUAACUCCGUGCC